GAUGAGCAUGCGUCCCAUUAGCUAGUUGGUAAGGUAACGGCUUACCAAGGCUACGAUGGGUAGGGGUCCUGAGAGGGAGAUCCCCCACACUGGUACUGAGACACGGACCAGACUCCUACGGGAGGCAGCAGUGAGGAAUAUUGGACAAUGGGCGCAAGCCUGAUCCAGCCAUGCCGCGUGCAGGAUGACGGUCCUAUGGAUUGUAAACUGCUUUUAUACGAGAAGAAACACUAAUUCGUGAAUCAGCUUGACGGUAUCGUAAGAAUAAGGAUCGGCUAACUCCGUGCCAGCAGCCGCGGUAAUACGGAGGAUCCAAGCGUUAUCCGGAAUCAUUGGGUUUAAAGGGUCCGUAGGCGGUUUAAUAAGUCAGUGGUGAAAGCCCAUCGCUCAACGGUGGAACGGCCAUUGAUACUGUUAAACUUGAAUUAUAGGAAGUAACUAGAAUAUGUAGUGUAGCGGUGAAAUGCUUAGAGAUUACAUGGAAUACCAAUUGCGAAGGCAGGUUACUACUAAUGGAUUGACGCUGAUGGACGAAAGCGUGGGUAGC
rnacentral:rRNA from 1 species